ACAAAUCCAAUGCUUGUGGGAUGGCUUGUAAAAGGGUCAUCUUGCAAAUAUUAAUCCGCUGGCCUCGCAAGGGGCUAGUUGAUAACAUAAAUGUGUGUAGUGUUGACAGUGUGUGAUAUUUAAUUAAUUAUUGA
rnacentral:misc_RNA from 1 species